GUAGAGUCAACUUCUGAACGAUGACUGGUGGAUUGACCAUCAAACGUCCCGGCACUAACUGGUCACCAUUGUCCUAGAGCCAAGGCAAUCAAAACACAGCAUUGAUUCCUUCCUUCAGUCACCAAGCAUCUACCAGAGCUUACCAUGUCCUACUCACUUGCUAAAUGCUGGGGAUACGAUGAUAGCAGGUGCAGUCGUGGCCUCUGCCUGGAGAAGCCAGUGGUCCUUUGGGAGACAAACAGUAAUUGCUAACCUGUUUAGGCGAGAGCAUCAUGAAAACCAUGCGGUGGCACAGGGGUAAGAGGGAGAGAAAGAGGAAGAAGAGGAGGAGGAGGAAGAAGGAGGAGGAGGAAGAGAAGGUGGAGAAGAAGAGGAGGACCUUCCCGUUGAAAUGUGGAUGUAUAGACCUUGCUUUGCCAGAACAGACAAGAAAAUAGUGCAAGGCCUGUCAGAGAUGACUUCACUGCCUUGUGGACAAAGGAAAUCAUGCAACAUGGAUUCAUCUCAAAAAGCCUUGGAGAAUUCUGGAAUCCUUUAACAGAAUGGAAACCUCGACCAGCAAAGUGAGCUAAUAAUGGAAGCACCGAGUCUAUGACUCACAAAUGAUUUUAAACCCAUGAUUUUCAGCUCGUUGGCCUCGAAAUCAAAUACUGAGACCAAAUGUCAGAGACCAUUUCACAAUUCUGACUUCUCAUUCAAGAUCAAUAGCAGCGGUCUUCUCAUUGCAAGCAGGAUAGGCACCUAGUCCUGGCUGCUUAGAGAUGGAGCUGGAGAGGGGCAGAGGCUUUUGCUUGGCUUUGUUUCAUUGUUGCUGUUGUUCUGUGUGUGUUUUAAAAGAAGCUUAUUCCAAUUAAGCAAGCACAUAAGUGGAUUCUAGAAAGACCACAGCACAGUCUAUCUCUUUAUGCCCUACCUACUUUUACUGAACUCAUACACCACCCACAG
rnacentral:lncRNA from 1 species